rnacentral:lncRNA from 1 species
GUUCAAUCUUUGGGAUCAUCAGCAUGGAAUCUUCAUUAUCCCCUCUCUCCUGGGCACCUGCUUCCCGCGCACCUGGAUGAGGACCAGAGGAAUUCGCGAAUUUCCGAAUCACCGCAGGAAAAACCAGCUGGCCUGAAUCAAAGCAAUUCUGGGUAAAAGACUUCCCAGAUGAUCUCUCAACGCCUUGGCAACGCUUGGCGACUGGGAGCUAGAACCAUGAGUUGUUAAUGUGUGCACGGAAGCCACAAGUGUGCAGGACGCAAGCUGGGUUAUUGGAAGCGGACGACACCAAGGAGGCGUUGCCGCGGAUGUGGUGGACGAUGCCAAGUCGUCUUUUAAAAAAGGAAGUGAAGAAUGAUUAAGAGGGUCACGCCCUCUACCACUCCAACCUCUCUAAUCAGUCUCUUUCUGCUCCGUCUGCUGUACAUGCACCUGCUCAGGAAAAUCAAGUCUUCCAAUUUUUUUUCACUAAUAUUAUGUGGGUGUGGAAGGGGAAGGAAGGAAAUUAUCCAACUGUUUCCUGCAGGCAGAGCAAGUCCUUACAGAGCAGGCUGCCCUCAGUGAUGAUGAGUUUUGGAUCUCCCAGAACAUCCCACCUCUUAAAUGUGUAGCGUCUUGUAAGUAUCCUUCCCAAUCAAGUUUAUUCAUAGCUUACUGAGUUCUGUCUCUCCUUCUCUGUUAAAUGGCUUUAUUGAGAUAUAAUUCAUAAAUAAAAAAACUGCACGUUUGAUAUGUGCAGUUUGAUGUGUUUGGAUCUAUGUAUACAUUGGCAAUACUAUCACCACAAUCAAGAUAAUAAACAUAUCCAUCAUCUCCAAAAGUUUCCCUGUGUCUCCUCAACUCCAUACUUUUUUGUGUUAAAAGCACUUAGCAGGACGAUCUGGGGAGGAGCAGUCCCUGGGAUCACUGUGUUUAUCUGUUGUCUCUGUACCCCACUUUAAAGUGUCCGAAAGUUUUCUCACACAGUAAUGUAAUCAACCCCAUUUUGUGGCUGUGGAAAUUGUCAGGCACAAAGGUUAAGCAAAUUAGCCAAGGCCAUGAAGCAGAUGAGUGAGACACCUGGGAGUGGAUCCAGGACUCACAACUGCUCAGUUGAUAUAUUGCCUUCCAUUGCUUCACAAGGCUGCGAGCUGUCCUGCUUCUUCCCAACACACUUGACUGAAGUCAGGUAUUUAAGUUUCUAUAUCUAAGCUGAAGUCAACAGUAUUUCCAUAAGUAGGAUCUUGUCACAACAGAAAAAAUGAAUUAUAAGCAAUGAAUAGAGGUGAAAUAUAUUCAUUCAGAGUCAGUGUGAAUACAUUCCAUCUUUCUUCACUUCCUUUAACCUCUCAUUUUCUCCAGGCUGCUUACAAAUGUAUUCAAUGUGUUAACAAAAAAAUUUAAUAAAGACAUUGCCAGAAUAUCAGCAUUGGGAACAAAGAAAAAUACUUUCUAUUUGGUGUUAGCAUAACUGUGCAUUUUAACUAGGUGUAUAUCUCUCUGUGUAUAAUUAACAUGCUAUUUGUAAAUAAAGUCAAAUAUUAAAUAUA